UUGAAGAAUUUUCUCAAACAGGUGGAGGAUGAUCCUGUAGAACUUGCCAAUGAGUAUGCGGAAUAAGCAAAAUCAGAAGCUCCAAAGUUCACUCCGUCGAAAACAAACGCCAAUGAGUUUAUUGGCUGUGUAGCUGCAAUGAACUGAUGAAUUUCCAAAGAAAGAGGAGAAUUAGAUGAGUUCAUCAAUGGCAUUAGAAGGAAGAAACCGAGAUGAUGCAGAUUUUGCAUGCAAGUGCAUGGUGGUUGCUCAAAGAUCUCUGCAACCUUGGUUCCAUGUUAUCUUUGAGGUCUUAUAUAUCAAUGGAGAUAUUGUCUCGCUUAUACCCAUGAUCCUUAGCCAAUGUUGGCUUAGUCGUAUUCUCAAUAAUUUUCGUCUCAAAUAAAUUGCCAUU